rnacentral:rRNA from 1 species
AGAGUUUGAUCCUGGCUCAGGAUCAACGCUGGCGGCGCGCCUAACACAUGCAAGUCGAACGAGAAAGCCGCAAGGCAAGUAAAGUGGCGUACGGGUGAGUAACACGUGGAUGAUCUGCCUUUUAGUGGGGAAUACCGUUGGGAAACCGACGACAAUACCGCAUAAUCCCGAGGGGGGGGAGGCGCAAGGCGCUGAAAGAGGAGUCCGCGGUCGAUUAGGUAGUUGGCAGGGUAAAAGCCUACCAAGCCUGUGAUCGAUAGCCGGCCUGAGAGGGCACACGGCCACACUGGCACUGAAACACGGGCCAGACUCCUACGGGAGGCAGCAGUGGGGAAUCUUGCACAAUGGGGGAAACCCUGAUGCAGCGACGCCGCGUGAGCGAUGAAGGGGCUUGGGGUGUAAAGCUCUUUCGUCGGGGAAGAUAAUGACGGUACCCGGAGAAGCAGCUGCGGCUAACUACGUGCCAGCAGCCGCGGUAAUACGUAGGCAGCAAGCGUUGUUCGGAGUUACUGGGGCGUAAAGGGGUGCGUAGGCGGCUAUUUAAGUUUGGUGUGAAAUCUCCCGGCUCAACCGGGAGGGUGCGCCGAAUACUGAGUGGCUAGAGUGGCGGAGAGAAAGUGGAAUUCCUGGUGUAGCGGUGAAAUGCGUAGAUAUCAGGAGGAACAGCGGUGGGUGUAAACGGCUUUCUGGACCGUAACUGACGCUGAGGCACGAAAGGUGGGGUAGCAAACAGGAUUAGAUACCCUGGUAGUCCACGCCUAACGAUGCAUAUUUGGGUGUGGGCCAUUCAUUUGUGCUGGGCGGGAGCUAACGCGUUAAUAUGGCUGCCUGGGGAGUACAGUC